CACGGGGAAUGCCUUAGUACGGCGAGUGAAGCGGCAAAAGCUCAAAUUUGAAAUCUGGUACCUUCGGUGCCCGAGUUGUAAUUUGGAGAGGGCAACUUUGGGGCCGUUCCUUGUCUAUGUUCCUUGGAACAGGACGUCAUAGAGGGUGAGAAUCCCGUGUGGCGAGGAGUUGCGGUUCUUUGUAAAGUGCCUUCGAAGAGUCGAGUUGUUUGGGAAUGCAGCUCUAAGUGGGUGGUAAAUUCCAUCUAAAGCUAAAUAUUGGCGAGAGACCGAUAGCGAACAAGUACAGUGAUGGAAAGAUGAAAAGAACUUUGAAAAGAGAGUGAAAAAGUACGUGAAAUUGUUGAAAGGGAAGGGCAUUUGAUCAGACAUGGUGUUUUGUGCCCUCUGCUCCUUGUGGGUAGGGGAAUCUCGCAUUUCACUGGGCCAGCAUCAGUUUUGGUGGCAGGAUAAAUCCAUAGGAAUGUAGCUUGCCUCGGUAAGUAUUAUAGCCUGUGGGAAUACUGCCAGCUGGGACUGAGGACUGCGACGUAAGUCAAGGAUGCUGGCAUAAUGGUUAUAUGCCGCCCGUCUUGAAACACGGACCA
rnacentral:rRNA from 1 species